GAUGAACGCUGGCGGCGUGCCUAACACAUGCAAGUCGAGCGGCAGCGAGGGGUGCUUGCACCCUGUCGGCGAGCGGCGGACGGCUGAGUAACGCGUGGGAACGUGCCCCAAAGUGAGGAAUAACUGCCCGAAAGGGUAGCUAAUACCGCAUAUUAUCUUCGGAUCAAAGGAUUUAUCCGCUUUGGGAGCGGCUCGCGUCGGAUUAGGUAGUUGGUGAGGUAGUGGCUCACCAAGCCGACGAUCCGUAGCUGGUCUGAGAGGAUGACCAGCCAGACUGGAACUGAGACACGGUCCAGACUCCUACGGGAGGCAGCAGUGAGGAAUCUUCCACAAUGGGCGAAAGCCUGAUGGAGCAACGCCGCGUGCAGGACGAAGGCCUUCGGGUUGUAAACUGCUUUUAUAAGUGAGGAAUAUGACGGUAACUUAUGAAUAAGGAUCGGCUAACUACGUG
rnacentral:rRNA from 1 species